AGUAACCGGUUUCCGAGGAGAACAUAUAUCCUGAAUCAGUUCCUGGACAUUUGUUUGAGGUCUUGUAAGGGAAACUGAAGGGAAUUGUGUAUUGAACAGGAUGGCUUAGACCUGCUCAACUUCUGAGAAUUGAGAUUGUGAGACUCCCAGUUCUAGCCAGAUAUCACCACUUCAAAGACAUAACAAAAAGGCAAAGUGGGCAAUCCAGAUGUAUCACUUGACUUUCUGACUACUGGAAGAAUUUCCCUUCAUUAUUGCACACCAGGGGUAUCCCACAGGCCAUCCUCGAUAAUGGCUUGGUUUCAUCAUUAAAAUUGUUCUCUUUGAGUCAAGAUAAUAUAGUUCCCAAGAGCUAUGUCAUACCAUCAGAAAAAAGAUAAACUUGGGCCAAACAUGAUGAGUUUCUCCUCAUGAAGUGACAUUUAUUCAUCUGUCAACAUCCUCACAUGGAUAGAACUGCUCAGUUUUCCAGUGGCAAAUGGAAAUGGCUCAUACACUUUAGGACUGCAAGUGAUACUUCUCAUAAAUAUUUAGAAAGACAGACAAGGUAAAAAUAAUGUUUCCUCUUAGAAUUCAAAGUAAAACUUUGACUGACUGAAUUAAAAACUGCUUUUAUCAAUGCCUCGCUCUAUUUUUUUUCUUCAGCUGAUA
rnacentral:lncRNA from 1 species